rnacentral:rRNA from 1 species
AGGGAUCAUUAUAGAGUUAUCAAAACUCCCAAACCCAUGUGAACUUACCUAUCGUUGCCUCGGCAGGUCGCGGCCUACCCCACGAGGACCCUCGGGCCCUCGCCCGGCGGGCCGCGGUCAAGCCUGCCGGCGACCCUCUAAACUCUGUUUAUUACUGUCAUUCUGAACCUAUAACUAAAUAAGUUAAAACUUUCAACAACGGAUCUCUUGGUUCUGGCAUCGAUGAAGAACGCAGCGAAAUGCGAUAAGUAAUGUGAAUUGCAGAAUUCAGUGAAUCAUCGAAUCUUUGAACGCACAUUGCGCCCAUUAGUAUUCUAGUGGGCAUGCCUGUUCGAGCGUCAUUUCAACCCUUAAGCCCCUGUUGCUUAGUGUUGGGAGCCUACGGUCACACGUAGCUCCUGAAAGUUAGUGGCGGAGUCGGUUCAAGCUCUAGACGUAGUAAAUCUUUAUCUCGCCUAUGGAUGAGCCGGUCCCCUGCCGUAAAACCCCCCAUUUCUAAAGGUUGACCUCGGAUCAGGUAGGAAUACCCGCUGAACUUAA